rnacentral:tRNA from 1 species
GAGGGUGUAGCUCAAGUGGUAGAGCGCAUGCUUAGCAUGCAUGAAAUCCUGGAUUCAAUCCCCAGUACCCGCC